GACGGAGGAUGCAAGUGUUAUCCGGAAUCACUGGGCGUAAAGCGUCUGUAGGUCGUUUAAAAGUCUACUGUUAAAAAUUGAAGCUUAACUUCAAAGAUGCCGUAGAAACUUUUAAACUUGAGUAUGGUAGGGGUAGAGGGAAUUUCCAGUGGAGCGGUGAAAUGCGUAGAUAUUGGAAAAGACCACCAAUGGCGAAGGCACUCUACUGGGCCAUUACUGACACUGAGAGACGAAAGCUAGGGGAGCAAAUGGG
rnacentral:rRNA from 1 species